GAUGAAGAACGUAGCAAAAUGCGAUACUUGGUGUGAAUUGCAGAAUCCCGUGAACCAUCGAGUUUUUGAACGCAAGUUGCGCCCGAAGCCUUUUGGCCGAGGGCACGUCUGCCUGGGCGUCACGCAUCGCGUCGCCCCCCACAACUCUCCGUAAAGGGAACUUGUGUUUUGGGGGCGGAUAUUGGUCUCCCGUGCUCAUGGCGUGGUUGGCCGAAAUAGGAGUCCCUCCGGUGGACGCACGAACUAGUGGUGGUCGUAAAAACCCUCGUCUUUUGUUUCGUGCCGUUAGUCGCGAGGGAAACUCUUUAAAAACCCAAAUGUGUCGUCUCUUGACGGCGCUUCGACCGCGACCCCAGGUCAGGCGGGACUACCCGCUGAGUUUAAGCAUAUCAAUAAGCGGAGGA
rnacentral:misc_RNA from 1 species